rnacentral:rRNA from 1 species
UACAGAGGGGGGCAAGCGUUGUUCGGAAUUACUGGGCGUAAAGGGCGCGUAGGCGGCCCGCUAAGUCGAACGUGAAAUCCCCGAGCUCAACUCGGGAACUGCGUCCGAUACUGGCGGGCUUGAAUCCGGGAGAGGGAUGCAGAAUUCCAGGUGUAGCGGUGAAAUGCGUAGAUAUCUGGAGGAAUACCGGUGGCGAAGGCGGCAUCCUGGACCGGCAUUGACGCUGAUGAGCGAAAGCUAGGGGAGCAAACGGG